ACAACAUUUGGACCGUCGGUCUACCGAGCAAAUAUCACCCGCUCGGUGGGAGAUGUUCCCACCGUUGU
rnacentral:pre_miRNA from 1 species